AUGGAAACUAGCAGCAAACAGUGUGCAGACAGACCUGAUGUGCAGGGAAGUCCUGUAGAGUUGUAUAUCACGUCCUGCCCUUGGCUGCCUCUCCUUCCACUCUGUCGAAGCCCUCUACGGGAGAAUUGUAUCUGCAAAUUUAUGGCACAAUCACAAAUUACAGAGGUGGUCGUUGGACUCACAUUUACAACCUACGGGUGUUCACGCUGGUUCAUUCUUGGCAUGGAGGCAAUGAAAAUAAUUCCUCCUCCCUGUGGAAAACGGGCCCUGAGUCUUUGGAUGUCUGGAGAAGGCUGACGAUUUCGACACCGUGACGACUGAAGAUUUUCAAAUCCUUAUUUAAUUUUUAACUAAUUGUUGACUUAAAAUGUAGAAACCUAAACAGAUAUUUCUCUUCAUGUCUCCAUCUCCACCACUGCAUGAAAGCAUGUUAUAUAACUAUUAUAAUAUCACCACUAGGACACUAAUAUUGGAACAAUGCAAUAAAGCACCUAAUUU
rnacentral:lncRNA from 1 species